CAAACAGCUGCACAGACCCUGUCCUGUAUGCCAUUGCCCGAAAAUAAGGCAUUCUCAGGAUGCACGACAGCCAUAGUUAAGUUAUUUUUUUUAAAAAAAAAAUAGCUCAUCUUUCAAUUUUAUCUUGGAGAAGUCUUUCACCUCCAAUAGCAAGCAAUGUUCCCACUCGGCCAUCCACAGUUGCUAUCUGACUCUGUCUCGGGCUGUGUGGCUGCCUCUGUGGUUCUGUUUUUCUCUACGACAGUAUUAGCUACUGGCAAUGGGGACCUGGGGGAGACUGCAGCUUCUAACCAACAGGGAUACAUAGCCCUGGAUGCCUUGGACCUCACCUUGUAGACCAUGCUAUCCUCAAAUUUAGAUCUACUCACCUCUGCCUUCACAGCACCAGGAUUAAAGGCAUGUACCACCGUGCCCACCCCUCUACUUUUUCAUUUCUGUGUACAUGAAAACGUGCCACAGUAAUAGCAAUAAAAAGCAGCAAUGAGGCAGCCAUGUUAUAAAUGU